rnacentral:rRNA from 1 species
CAGCUUGUUGGCGGGGUAACGGCCCACCAAGGCUUUGAUCGGUAGCCGGACUGAGAGGUUGGCCGGCCGCACUGGAACUGAGACACGGUCCAGACUCCUACGGGAGGCAGCAGUGGGGAAUCUUGCACAAUGGACGAAAGUCUGAUGCAGCAACGCCGCGUGGGGGAUGAAGCUUCUCGGAGUGUAAACCCCUUUCGACCCGGACGAAUGCCCGCAAGGGUUUGACGGUACGGGUAUAAGAAGCCCCGGCUAACUACGUGCCAGCAGCCGCGGUAAUACGUAGGGGGCCAGCGUUGCUCGGAAUUACUGGGCGUAAAGGGUCCGUAGGCGGUGCGGCAAGUCGAUAGUGAAAUCUCUGGGCUUAACCCAGAGGCUGCUAACGAAACUGCCGUGCUAGAGUGUGAGAGAGGCGAGUGGAAUUACGGGUGUAGCGGUGAAAUGCGUAGAUAUCCGUAGGAACAUCCGAGGCGAAAGCGGCUCGCUGGAUCACAACUGACGCUGAGGGACGAAAGCUAGGGGAGCAAACAGGAUU